rnacentral:rRNA from 1 species
UACAGAGGGUGCGAGCGUUGUCCGGAAUCACUGGGCGUAAAGGGCGCGUAGGCGGCUUUUCAGGCGUGCGGUGAAAGCUCGGGGCUUAACUCCGAGUCUGCCGUGCGAACUGGGAGGCUUGAGUCUGGUAGAGGUCGAUGGAAUUCCGGGUGUAGCGGUGGAAUGCGUAGAGAUCCGGAAGAACACCGGUGGCGAAGGCGGUCGACUGGGCCAGUACUGACGCUGAGGCGCGACAGCGUGGGGAGCAAACAGG